rnacentral:rRNA from 1 species
CCUACGUGAGGCAGCAGUGAGGAAUAUUGGUCAAUGGACGAGAGUCUGAACCAGCCAAGUAGCGUGAAGGAUGACUGCCCUAUGGGUUGUAAACUUCUUUUAUAUGGGCAUAAAAUGUUCCACGUGUGGGAUUUUGUAUGUACCAUAUGAAUAAGGAUCGGCUAACUCCGUGCCAGCAGCCGCGGUAAUCCGGAGGAUCCGAGCGUUAUCCGGAUUUAUUGGGUUUAAAGGGAGCGUAGGUGGAUUGUUAUGUCAGUUGUGAAAGUUUGCGGCUCAACCGUAAAAUUGCAGUUGAAACUGGCAGUCUUGAGUACAGUAGAGGUGGGCGGAAUUCGUGGUGUAGCGGUGAAAUGCAUAGAUAUCGCGCAGAACUCCGAUUGCGAAGGCAGCGUACCGGCGCCAGACUGACGCUGAGGCACGAAAGCGUGGGGAUCGAACAGGAUUAGAUACCCGUGUAGUC